rnacentral:lncRNA from 1 species
GAAACGACAACUUUCCUACCAUCUUGGAGGCAGAGGAGAGAGGGGCCAAGGGGAGAAGUGCACCGGCUCCAGCCAGAUAAAGUCCAAAUUUCUACCUCUCAUCGCUGGAAAAAAGCCCAUACUUGAGAAAAAGCAGGGAAGAAACAGAAAGGAGGUCGUGUGCUCCGUGGUGGGGAAUGUUUCUGCACCUUCUGAUGGAAAGAAAUCUUUACAAGACACAGAACACACGGAGAAUUUUAAUGUACACAUGCAAGAACAAAAGCCUGUGAAGCUGGAACGCAACUGUAGCAUUAAACAGCGGUGCCUCAAAACGUGGAUUUGUACCAACUAGAAGAACAACAUCUGCUUCUUCCACACCAGCAAUUGUGGUAUUGAGAAGAUAAUUGGAACGAAAACGAUAGCUGAGAACAGUUGUAACACUCAUCUUCAAUCCAAGUACUUAGGAGGUAAAGACAGAAAGUUCUUCUGCUACACAGAGUUCAAGGCCAGCCUGGGCUACAAGAAACUCAAAAAUCAAAAUGAAAUCCCAAACAGCAGCCUGGAGCACAGCUUACUGCUUCUCACCCAGCUCCUUCAGUGGGGAAGAUCUCUUCAGUGCAUAAGUUGUCAGAGUCAACUUUAUUAAGCAAGUCUUUCAGAGCUACUAAGGCUUCAGCAUCCACCAAGCCUCCUGCAAUCGCUGCCACAGCAUUGCCUUCAAAAUUCUGUAACUGGAAACAGAAAAGGGCAUCUCUAAGAAACCUACAGUCAGCAAAGACCAUGACUGUUCAGGAAAUAAACCAAGUCAUUUUCAAGCAUCCAGAGUAGCAGGAGGCACAGCCGUCUCUCCUGAAUUAGUGUAGCUACCACUGCACAUUAAAGAAGCUUUUUACAGCAAAUGCAGAGGAAAACCACACUGGAAACAAUGCAGAAAUCAACAAAUUGUGGGGACCCCAGCCACAACAGACACAUCUACACCAUGGCUCUUGCAGCUAUUGCUCAAGGAACCAGAAAAUAAAGAGUCUAAGAGCCAGCGUACCAGAAGUCUGCUGUAAAGCAGUGUCUCCUAGAAAGGCUGCAUAAACAAGAUCCGAAUACCAAUACCAACAGGAAUUUUAACAUGGAAGGGAGAAAAUUCCACAGGUCUCACCUCUAGACAAAGAACUGCAAGCAACUGACUGCUGGGAGAAAAAGAAUUAGCUUCUCUCAGGAAUGAACCCCCAUAUAGGUUGUCCAGUACAGAGCAGUCAGUCAGCCUUGAAAUCAUAUAUACACAAACAAUAAAAAUGUAGAGUCUAUUUGUGCAUGUACAUAAAUUUAUAUAUUUACUAUAUAUAUAUAUAAUAUAAAUAUAAAAAAUAAAAAAGUUUUUUCAAUUAAAAAAAAAGACAGAGGCUAUCAACUUGAGAAUAGAAGGGGAAUGAGAGGGAUUCAGGGAUAGGUCACUAGGAGGGCCUGGAGAGAGAAGCCAGAUAAGUGAUACAGUUCUAUUUCAACUAUAAAAUGAAAAUAUAUAUAUAUAUAUAAAACAUGUAUUUAAAAAGACAUUGUUGUCAAAAAAUAUUAGCUAGCAAAUAAAAAACAUUUAACCUUUUCUUUUUCUGGUGAAUUAAAUUAACUAACAUUUGAUUAUUGAAAUAACUUCCGAGUUCUCAAAAUACUCAUACAGUCAAGGAAUUUAAUGUAUUUUGGGUCUGAAUGCAAUGAACCACUUAUAUUUCUUUCUAAUAAACUGAUUCCUAGCAGACU